rnacentral:lncRNA from 11 species
UGCGACCUCCUUUAGCACCGCCCCCGCCUCUAGCUGAGUCUUUCGUCACUUCCGUGCCUGCGCAGCCGUACGCCCUCUUUCCCGGUUGCCAUGGCGGCCGGCUUGAGCGGGAUGUUCGGCAACCAAGGCCCGGUCCCUCCACCACCGCCGCCGCCUCCUCCUCCGCCGCCCCCUGUGGCCCCUGGCGGACCGGGGCCGGCUGGGCUUCUUCCCCCGAACCCCGCGGGGCCGAGGAACCCCAACAGCACCCUGGUGGACGACCUGGAGGCCUCCUUCGAGGCCUGCUUUGCUUCCCUUGUGAGUCAAGAUUAUGUGAAUGGUACAGACCAGGAAGAAAUAAGAACAGGUAAGCCUAUGUCUGUCCUUUCUUUUUACCUUCACAAUUUUAUCUCCUUUUGGUUUCUCCUCUUCUCUUGUGUUGCUUUUGUUUUGAUUAUGUGAGUGUGGUACAGCUUCCUUAAGAGUCUUUGGAGUGAUAAAGCAGGAUGUUAAAUACUUAGACCAUUUUGGUUAUGAGAAAACAAUAGUAGAACUGUAAAAUACGUAGCUGUAAUCACUUCAAUACUGCUUGAAGCAAAAGUGUGUUUUAUGUCUCCAUCUCUACUCAUAAAAUUAGAAGCACAGGAUUUUUCAAUUUCUUCUUCUCGCCCUGUAGUUGAAGCAUUAACUUGAAUUAUCUCUCUAUAUAAAAUGUAAUGUACAUAAUUAGGACCGAGUUAACAACAAAACUACUGGACCAAAUGCCACCAAAUUUGGCCACAAUACACAUCCAAGGUAUGUCCUUCACUAAAAAACCCCCCAAAAAUUGAUUGGCCUAUAUCUAUUUUUCUCUUCUCCCCCCCCCCCCCCCCUUUUCGGCUAAAAUGGUACACUCCCCUCUUUUCUCUUCACUCUCUGCACUUGCUCUGAGGGGGGUGACUGUGUUUACAGUUUAUGGGGGAGCCCGGAAUGUGGAGAAGAGCAGGUAGAGAGAGAGAGAGACAGUUCUUCUUGGAGGGGCUUCCCUUCCUUCUCACACACAGUUCUCCCCCUGGCUGCAGUCAGAAGGGUAGGCUCCACUGCCUUUAUGCCCCACCCCCUUCAUGUCAUAGCAUCCCCCUCAGCCACAAUGGCACCCAGGGGACAGACAGGGUUCACUUAGGCCUCUUCCACACUGCCUAUAAAAUACAUUAUCUUAUUUGAAGUGGAUUAUAUGGCAGUGUAGACUCAAAGCCCUUCAACACAUCUAUAUAACCCAGAAUGCCAAGGCACAUAAUCCACAGUAUCUGCUUUGAACUGGAUUAUUUUGAGUCCACACUGCCAUAUAAUCCAGUUCAGUGUGGAUUUUAUACAGCUGUGUAGGAGGGGCCUCAUAUAAUCCAGUUCUAAGUAGAUAAUAUAUAUUAUAAAUAUAAUACAUAAUAAUUACUGUAGUAUAAUAAUACAGAACAAUAUCAUCUCUAAAAUCAGGGCAGUAAAUACAGAGCAACACUCUGAAAACAGGGAAAUUCCAGAAAGGAAACAACCAGAGGCGGCUAACACCUCCCAACAAAGGAUUCCCCCAGGGAGGAAGCAGCCAGACUUUGAAGCUGCAAGGCCAUUAAAUGCUAAUCAAGGUGACUAAUUGCAGCAUUCAUACUUGCCGCACCAAGACUAUUCAUUUAUAUUCAACCUGGCCAACCAAGGAUUCCACAAGGUAGAAGGUGUCCAUGCUUGCAAGCAGCAGGGCUAUUCAGUGCUAUUCAACCUGACCAACCAAGAUUUCCCCAGAUAGAAAACCUCCAGGCUUUGAAGUCAGAAGGCUACUCCGUCCCAUUCAACGUGGCCUAGCAAGGAUGCCCUAUGUAGAAAGCGGCCAGGCAUUUAAGCUGCAAGACUAUUCAGUGCAAUUCAAGCUGGCUAAAUAAGGAUUCCCCUACAAAGGAAGUAGCCAGGCUCUUUGAGGGUGCUACUCCAGUUCACCAAACAAGGAUUCCCCUAGGUAUAACACAGCCUUUGAAGUUGCGAGGCUAUUCAGUGCAAUUCAACCAGACCAACAAAGGAUUAACCUUGGUAGAAGGCGGCCAGGCUUUGAAGCAGCAAUACUACUCUAUAUUUGAAGCUGACAAACCAAAGAUUCCUCUAGGUAGCAGGCAGCCAGGCUUUGAAGUAGUGAGGCUAUUCAUUGCAAUUCUAGCAGCCCAAAAAACAAUUCCCUUAGAAAGCAAGUACUCAGCCUUCCAACCAGCAAGCCUAUUCCAUUAUAUUUCAGCUCACCAAACAAGGAUUCCCAUAAGAAGAAAACGGCCAGGUUUUGAGGCUGCAAGGCUAUUCACUGCUAUUCCACCUGGCCAACAAAGGAUUCCAAUAAGCCACAGCAAUACAUGGCCGGGCACAGCUAGUGGUUAUAUAAACAGUUUUCUUUGAAUUCUUAUUAAUAUGAAUCAGUCAGAUUUUGUAUUAUAUUAUUUUGCUACAUCUCACUAUAAAUGCCACCCCAUUUCUUCAUGGAUUUGUUUCUUGAAUAAAUCACUGUAAGUAUAUGACUCAGAGUUCAAAUUCCAAUUUAGCUCAGUUACCUCAAAUAAUGCAAUUUGAUAGGUUACUAGCAUAUAUACCUGGUAUUAUCCAGGUGUUAAAGGGGCUGUUGCGCCCUUGCUUUAUCCCUUCUGCUCUGAGAAGGCCUAUCUUAGCAUCCGUAGAAAUGCUCUGGCAAUGGUGAGCAGGAUCUCGUUGUGGUUCUUUCUUCUUCGUUUUCUCUCAUAAACCUUCCCUCUUUGUCUUCCUUCUUCACUUGCUUUCACCUUCCCCUUUUCUGUCUCCUUUCUCUUCCUUCCGUUUACAUUUUUUCUUUAUUCUCUCCCUGCCUCUUUGCCCCUUUCUUCCCUUCCUUUCUCUUCUUUCUUUCCUUCCUCUCAUGCCUUUUCUAAUUCCUUUCUCUUCCCUCCUUUUUCUUUCUUCUCUCUUCUCUUGUUCCUUUUCCCUCCUUUGUUGCAUCCUUCCUUUCUUCUCCCCCCUCAUAACUUGUCACCUAGCAGCAGCCAAGAUACUUCCUUUCUUUCCCAGUCACAUCACAGAAGUUCAAUUCUCCUAACCACAACCAAUCUACUUGGUUCCUUUUCUUUCCCUCUGUUCCAGUUCCGAAAUAGGUGGCUUUUUUUAGUUUAGACCUCUCAAUUACCGUAUUUUUCGCUUUAUAAGACGCACUUUUCCCCCCCCAAAAUAGAGGGAAAAAGUCAGUGCGUCUUAUAAACGCAAUAUCUACAUUCACCAUACAAUGCAGUUUGAAACUGCAUUAGAGAGCAGUGUAGAGUGUGUCCUCCCCCCUCCUCGAAACAUUCCAAACAACUGCCACUUGUGGCGCGCGGGGAGAGCCAGUUCCUCCCUCAUAUCUCACUGUCAAGCGGUCUCGAGCCCCCUCCCUCUUCCUCC